rnacentral:SRP_RNA from 2 species
ACUGGGCAUGAUGGUACAUGCCUGUAGUCCCAGCUACUCAGGAAGCUGAGGCAGGAGGAUUGCUUGAGCUCAGGAGGUCGAGACUGCAGUGAGCCGUGAUGGUGCCACUGCACUCUAGCCUGGGUGACAGAGUGAGACCCUGUCUCAA